GCUGGGCAUGGUGGCGCGUGCCUGUAAUCCCAGCUACUCGGGAGGCUGAGGCAGGAGAAUUGCCUGAACCCAGGAGGUGGAGGUUGUGGUGAGCCGAGAUCGCGCCAUUGCACUCCAGCCUGGGUAACAAGAGUGAAACUCCGUCUCAAAAAAAAAAAAAAAAAGACAGAGUCUUGCUCUGUCACCCAGGGUGGAGUGCAGUGGUGCAAUCUCAGCUCACUGCAGCCUUCACCUCCUGGGUUCAAGUGAUUCUCCUGUCUCAG
ensembl:misc_RNA Metazoa_SRP Metazoan signal recognition particle RNA